rnacentral:ncRNA from 1 species
UUAUAUGCGAUGAGAAAGAAGAGUACAUGAUGUGAAGCUUUCAGAGAGCCUGUGGUUGGUGAGAACAGGUAGUGAAUCAUGAUGGAAUGGGCUUUUGAGCAUUCUGACCGAACCCUUUAUAGUAGGCUCAGACGUGUAGAUGUCCGCACGAUAUAAUGGACAGCGUAUCGGAUUUUCCUGUACGUGUUAAAGUGAUUUUCUGUAUGUUUGAAAAUUAUAAGGGUGGCACCGCGGUCCAUUCGUCCCUUGC